rnacentral:tRNA from 1 species
GGCUCAUUCGUCUAGUGGCCUAGGACGCUGGCCUCUCACGCCGGAAACACGGGUUCGAUUCCCGUAUGAGCUACCA